UACGUAGGGUGCGAGCGUUAAUCGGAAUUACUGGGCGUAAAGCGCGCGUAGGCGGCUUUGUAAGUUAGAGGUGAAAGCCCGGGGCUCAACUCCGGAACUGCCUUUAAGACUGCAUCGCUUGAAUCCAGGAGAGGUGAGUGGAAUUCCGAGUGUAGAGGUGAAAUUCGUAGAUAUUCGGAAGAACACCAGUGGCGAAGGCGGCUCACUGGACUGGUAUUGACGCUGAGGUGCGAAAGCGUGGGGAGCAAACAGG
rnacentral:rRNA from 1 species